CAGAUUUGUUUAUAUCAUGUUUAUUUUCCUGGGUUUCUUCUAAAGGAGUUUUGUUUCUGAGUAGGAGACACUUUUGAGUCAUAAUGACGUAUGUGUGACUGAUAAUGCAACUGACUAAACAUUGAAAAGUGGGCAAAACCUAAAUAAUUUCUGUCUGGUCUGUAGUGCAGAACUCAAACUGGGCAUGGUGCUCAUGACACUGCAAACAUCUGGAGAUUUUUGUAAGUAAAUGUGUGUGAUUCAGACCGAACCUGGUAGUGCCUGAGACUGGAGCGGGGAAGUCACUUGCUGCAGGUGCAAAUAGUGCUGAAAAUAGCAGUACGCUAUGCUCUCCUGAAAGCACAGAUGAGAGAAAGAAUAAUAUUGUUAUUUUUCAUGCAGAUAUCAAGCCAGGCAUUGAAGACUGCUUGUGGGAAGAUAUAACUACUUAGCUGCAGCUAGAGACACUGCAGAAAAAAGGACAAGGACACAAGUCCUGCCAACAGCAGGGAGUGAGUUAA